rnacentral:rRNA from 1 species
GAUGAACGCUGGCGGCGUGCUUAACACAUGCAAGUCGAACGGAAAGGCCCUGCUUUUGUGGGGUGCUCGAGUGGCGAACGGGUGAGUAACACGUGAGUAACCUGCCCUUGACUCUGGGAUAACUUCAGGAAACUGGGGCUAAUACCGGAUAGGAGCUCCUGCUGCAUGGUGGGGGUUGGAAAGUUUCGGCGGUUGGGGAUGGACUCGCGGCUUAUCAGCUUGUUGGUGGGGUAGUGGCUUACCAAGGCUUUGACGGGUAGCCGGCCUGAGAGGGUGACCGGCCACAUUGGGAAUGAGAUAAGGCCCAGACUCCUACGGGAGGCAGCAGUGGGGAAUAUUGCACAAUGGGCGGAAGCCUGAUGCAGCAACGCCGCGUGCGGGAUGACGGCCUUCGGGUUGUAAACCGCUUUCGCCUGUGACGAAGCGUGAGUGACGGUAAUGGGUAAAGAAGCACCGGCUAACUACGUG